GACGAACGCUGGCGGCGUGCUUAACACAUGCAAGUCGAACGGAGUGGCGAACGGGCGAGUAACACGUGGGUGACCUGCCCUGCACUUCGGGAUAAGCCUGGGAAACUGGGUCUAAUAACGGAGAGUGUGGGAUGGGGGGGCGGCCUAUCAGCUUGGUGGUGGGGUAAUGGCCUACCAAGGCGGCGAGGGGUAGCCGGCCUGGGAGGGUGGACGGCCACCGUGGGACUGCGGCACGGCCCAGAGUCCUACGGGAGGCAGCAGUGGGGAAUCUUGCGCAAUGGGCGGAAGGCUGAGGCAGCGACGCCGGGGUGGGGAUGUCGGCCUUCCGGUUGUAAACUCCUUUCACCAUCGACGCGGUAGAUGGAGAAGAAGCACCGGCUAACUACGUGCCAGCAGCCGCGGUAAUAC
rnacentral:rRNA from 1 species